rnacentral:misc_RNA from 1 species
GGUGAGGAACACAAGGUGGUAGCGGUCCUACGCCAGGACGACUGCUUUCUCUCAAAGGGAGGCUACCUUCAUAUUUUUGGCGCCACUUGGUAUGAACUGCUUAACGUCCAAAACCAGGUGGGAUGGGUUAACGCCUACCACCUCCGUGUUAAGGACAGGACCGCGUGCGCGGUGUCAGCUACCGUCAGCUCCACCCCUUUCUCCAUCACCGGCUCUGAUCCGUUCUCCGGGGGUGACAUUUUCAGGGCGGGAACCUGCACGGAGGGCGGAAUGUUGUAUAGAGACGGUGACCAUAUACAGCGUGGGGGCGUGACGUGCACCUGUCAGAGGGGCGUGGUUAACUGUCAGUCAGGGGUUGUUGGAUAGUAGUCACAAUCUUUCAUGCUGUACACUGUUCUCGCGUGUUAAAGGAGUGUGUGUAAACAAUGUCUCAAUCAUUAAAUAAAUCAUGCUAAAAUC